GAUUUAAUCCCCAAACCCGACAAGCCGCAAGGUGAGGGUUGGGAAGAGUUUUGAGAGCUGAUUAAAUCUGGGGCUUAACAUCAAGAUAGGUUGGGAACCCACCUCUGUUCAUGAAAGAAAUGCACAGCUUCCUUUUUUUCCCUUUUUCCUUUUUUGCCUUCUGGCCACUGUUCAAAGCAACUUUCAGCCUGAAAAACGAAUCAAAGGUCCUUUAUGCUUUCCUGACCAGUCUAAAUUGCCACUUGGUCUUUGAUCGCCCAAAGGUCAUUGGUCAGUUUUGGCUGGAGAACCUGUCGGCAAACAGAAGGAACAUCUAACAAGAGAGGGAGGACCUUCCUGACACAGAUUUUACUCUUUCAAUGUUCACAAAGAGAGCUCUUUGUUUUAAAAUGUUCCCAUUUCAUGGCUGCAACCGCAACCACAGCUGGCUACGAAGCGAAGGCCGAUUCAAACCACUUCUGGGAUAAACAUGCCUAGGGCCGAAAGAGGGAAUAGGAUUAUGUUCAGCGAAAAAAAUUCCCCGUGGGGAGUCCUUGCACCGCCCGCCACCCAGUUCCUUCCCAUCGCACGCUGGUGGCUGCUUCCAAGCUGCCUCUCCGCUGGCCAAUUAUUUUGGCAUCCCAAAGGAAUCUCUUAGGAUGGGAAACAUCCGGGAGUGCGAGGGGCUGGAUCACUGCCCAUCUAUUCCUUCCUGUUUUGGGGAGGCGACAGCUGAUUCUGGGGAAAACAAGGAAUGGCUGCGUGCCGCUGGCUCCAUUUGCUAAAAUGCGAACAAAAUGCAAAAAGCUGAAAUACCUUUAUCUUUGAAUCUCUAGUCUGUUCAUUUCGAAGAAACAGAUUUUUAAAAAAAACCUUCAGCCAGGUUUG